UACGAAGGGUGCAAGCGUUACUCGGAAUUACUGGGCGUAAAGCGUGCGUAGGUGGUUGUUUAAGUCUGUUGUGAAAGCCCUGGGCUCAACCUGGGAAUUGCAGUGGAUACUGGGCGACUAGAGUGUGGUAGAGGGUAGUGGAAUUCCCGGUGUAGCAGUGAAAUGCGUAGAGAUCGGGAGGAACAUCCAUGGCGAAGGCAGCUACCUGGACCAACACUGACACUGAGGCACGAAAGCGUGGGAGCAAACAGG
rnacentral:rRNA from 1 species